rnacentral:misc_RNA from 3 species
CAGGACUCGCAAGACUCCUACAACCCUGUGAACCUACUAUACGAACGUUGCUUCGGCGGGUGCGCCCCGGGGAUUCGUUCCCGCGGCGCGUCAGCCCGCCGGCAGCCUACAAAUUCUGUUUCUUUGCGUUGGCAUCUCGAGAAAAACAAAUAAGUUA